CCUACGGGAGGCAGCAGUGGGGAAUAUUGGGCAAUGGAGGAAACUCUGACCCAGCAAUGCCGCGUGAAUGAAGAAGGUCUUCGGAGGGUAAAGUUCUUUAGUCAGGGAAGAAGAAAAUGACGGUAACGGAAGAAUAAGCUCCGGCUAACUACGGGCCAGCAGCCGCGGGAAUACGUAGGGAGCAAGCGUUGUUCGGAAUGACUGGGCGUAAAGGGUGCGUAGGCGGUUAUACAAGGUAGAAGUGAAAGACCCAGGGCUUAACUCGGGUGCUGCUUCGCAAACUGUAAGACUUGAGUGCAGUCGAUGUUCGUGGAAUUCCUCGUGUAGCGGUG
rnacentral:rRNA from 1 species